rnacentral:lncRNA from 1 species
GUAACCUACAAGAAAAUACUUCGACCCUCAAGUCACCUAGGUCACAAAAAGAUCAGAGUAAGUGUAAUUAAAACAAAAGGUAAAUUACCUGGUUGUUAGGUCUGUAUUUAUAGACAUUAGACCCAAUAAUUGACAUUAACUAUCUGUAACUAUCAUAUCUUCUGUUUCCUUUUCCGUAAUAUUCGUCCAUUAAGACCAUUAAUUACUUUUAAACACGGUUUUCCACGGUCCUUCACCUCUUC